rnacentral:rRNA from 1 species
UACAGAGGUCCCGAGCGUUGUUCGGAUUCACUGGGCGUAAAGGGUGCGUAGGUGGCAUGUUAAGUUUGAUGUGAAAGCUCAGGGCUUAACCCUGAGAUGGCAUUGAAUACUAGCGUGCUGGAGGUUUGGAGGGGGGACUGGAAUUCUCGGUGUAGCAGUGAAAUGCGUAGAUAUCGAGAGGAACACCAGUGGCGAAGGCGAGUCCCUGGACAACACCUGACACUGAGGCACGAAAGCCGGGGGAGCAAACAGG